AGAUAGUGGUAGGGAAUGAUUUCACCUGAUUGUCCACUCUCUGUGGAAAUGGGAAUAGCCUGAGGAAAGAUACACUUGGGGCAGGCGGUUGGCACAGUGGUUAAGUUGCCACUCAGCUGGCCACUCUGGCUUCCUACUAAUGAGCACCCUCAGAGGCAGUAGGUGACAGCUCAAGAACUUGAGUCCCUGACACUAUGUGGGAGAUCUGGAAGGAGAUGCUGGAUCCUGGCUUAAGCUUGUCCCAGCCCUAGAUGUCAUGGGCAUUUUGGGAGUGAACCAGUGGUAGAAGAUCUGUGUGUAUAUAUGCAUGUGUAAACGUGUGUAUCUAUCUCUGCCUUUCAAAUUAAUUAUUUUUUUAAAAAGAACACACAUAAAUUCAAGGACAGUGAUAAACCAGUAGGAUGGCCAUUCAUAGAGUUGAGAGGAUAAUGACAGGAAUAUUACACACAAGGGAAUAAAGACCUCUCAUUAUUAAUCCCAGGGACUUACUUGAAAUACUUCAUUUUUCUCAUCCCUAAAAUUCUAUGCUAAGAGGGACCAAAAUCCUGGUUACUAUAGUGAGGUCACCUCUACUGAGAACUUCGUAAAAGUUCCAUUGAACUCUAAGCUCCUUUGCCACCCAGUUACUUUAGGCUCCUUCCACCAAGAAAUCUACAAACAGGAAAGGUGCUACCUUCCUAGCAGAGAGGAGAACUUUAUGUUUGCCUCAAGGUGACUGGUACUUUUCUGCACAAUUUUAAUUUUAAAUGGACAAGCACAGCAUCAGGGCCUGAGAAGAACCAGCAGUCAGGGACCUGUUACUCGGGUCGAAAUAGAGAGGGAGAAAGAAUCUAUCUGCUGAUUUACUCUCCAGAUGCCUACAACAGCCAGUGUUGGGCCAGGUGACGUUAGUGUCUAUGCUUUCCAAAAGGCAUAGGCAUGGAAUGUUGGGAUGUCACCUGACCUGUUCUGGUCUCUACCUCAGUGAGAAAGGUACCUCUUGUCUUCUGCAAGGCAGCAAAGAUUUAAGGUUUAUUUGAUUCAGCAGCUAGUGCUGAUUAUGUUGACCAAUGCAAUAGAUAACACAGUCCUUAAAGACAUUUUUGUCAUAUAUUUUUCUCAAUCAAUAGAUACCAAAAGGAUGAAUAACAUCAUGUAAGUUUAAUUUUUUAUU